rnacentral:rRNA from 1 species
GACGAACGCUGGCGGCGCGCCUAACACAUGCAAGUCGAACGGAACUUGAGAGAGCUUGCUUUUUCRAGUUUAGUGGCGAACGGGUGAGUAACGCGUGAGUAACCUGCCCUGGAGUGGGGGACAACAGUUGGAAACRACUGCUAAUACCGCAUAAGCCCACRGYACCGCAUGGURCWGMGGGAAAAGGAUUUAUUCGCUUCAGGAUGGACUCGCGUCCAAUUAGCUAGUUGGUGAGGUAACGGCCCACCAAGGCGACGAUUGGUAGCCGGACUGAGAGGUUGAACGGCCACAUUGGGACUGAGACACGGCCCAGACUCCUACGGGAGGCAGCAGUGGGGGAUAUUGCACAAUGGGGGAAACCCUGAUGCAGCGACGCCGCGUGGAGGAAGAAGGUUUUCGGAUUGUAAACUCCUGUCGUACGGGACGAUAAUGACGGUACCGUACAAGAAAGCCACGGCUAACUACGUGCCAGCAGCCGCGGUAAAACGUAGGUGGCAAGCGUUGUCCGGAAUUACUGGGUGUAAAGGGAGCGCAGGCGGACCGGCAAGUUGGAAGUGAAAUCUAUGGGCUCAACCCAUAAAUUGCUUUCAAAACUGCUGGCCUUGAGUAGUGCAGAGGUAGGCGGAAUUCCCGGUGUAGCGGUGGAAUGCGUAGAUAUCGGGAGGAACACCAGUGGCGAAGGCGGCCUACUGGGCACCAACUGACGCUGAGGCUCGAAAGCAUGGGUAGCAAACAGGAUUAGAUACCCUGGUAGUCC